GCCCCCGGACUGCAGCGGCACCGCCGCCUGUUUGCUCUUAUUUCAGCAGGGACAGCCGCUAAACUGGAAUAUUCCCCCCAUAUGAACCUUCCUCCGAGCUGACUCGAAGCAAGCAAGAUGUCUGCAGUUUACAAAGACGACCAGGAAGACUGGCUGACGGUGUGCCUCAAGUACCUGCUUUUUGUGUUUAACUUUCUUUUUUGGGUGGGUGGAGCUGCUGUCCUGGGCGUCGGAGUUUGGACUCUGCUGGAGAAGAGCGACUACUUGAGCCUGUUGGCUUCCAGCACGUUUGCAGUGUCGGCGUAUAUCCUCAUUCUGGCCGGCAGCCUGGUGGUGGUGACGGGCUUUUUGGGCUGUUGCGCCGUCAUCCGGGAGCAGAGAAGCUGUUUGACCACGUAUUUCUUCUGCCUGCUGUUGAUCUUCCUGAUCGAACUGGUGGCUGGAGUACUGGCAUAUGUGUACUAUCAGAGGCUGAGCGAGGAGCUGAAGCAGCAUCUCAACCAGACCAUGACAGAGAACUACUCACAGCCAGGGAAGGACGCCGUCACAUUAGCUGUGGACAAGCUCCAACAAGAUUUCAAGUGCUGCGGCAGCAACAACUCUCACGACUGGAUGCUGAGCGUCUACGUUUCAUCAAAGCAAGCAGAGGGCCGGGUGGUGCCAGACAGCUGCUGUAAGACCAUCACCCAUCAGUGUGGCAAGAGAGACCACCCCUCCAACAUCUACAAGGUGGAGGGUGGUUGUAUCACGAAGCUGGAGCGGUUCCUGGCAGACCACCUGUUGAUUAUUGGUGCAGUGGGCAUCGGAGUGGCCUGUCUGCAGCUGGCUGGGGCUCUGUUGACAGCCUGCUUUAUCUAUCUACUCUAUAAAGAAGAGGAGGACUACUUUGGUGCAUUGUAAUUUGGCUCUAGAGCACCUUGGUGGUUUAAUCAAAUGGAAAGACAAGGUUGGAGGGCAUGAUCUGUGGGAUGGUGUUCACCUGCUGCUUGCACAGAAGGAUCGCGAUCGAGACGGACCCUUACUGAGCUGACCAGGCUCCCGAGAACACCGUCUCCAACAGGGACAUGUCACACGACCUGCCGACACAAGACUUGUCUUGUAUUCUGACCCGAGGAUCUCAAGCAAUGCAUGUUCCAGGCCGCCCACAUCACAGCCAGAAACAAAUCAGACUUUUUUUUUUUUUUUUUUUUAUUAAAAAUAAAGCAGCCUGUGAUUCUGUUUACCUGGCUGUGAUGUAUGUCGGCCCACUGGAGCACUUUGUCUGAUUAUGCCACUCUGAGGUGCAUGCUUUAAUGUGUACAGGACUAUACAAAGGGCAGGAAUAAUUUCACAUUAUAUUCUGUGCCACUAAUGACACUGGAAACAAAUUCAACAUAUUUUCACUGUGCUGAUUUACAUAAUGUUUUGGCCAUUCCAGUACUUGAAUAAUAGUGUACACUUGUUACUAUUAAUGGAAAAAGCUAGAUUGUGGUUGUAUUUUUUAUGAACAUAAUGUGCCUAUUUCACAGUUAUGCUGAUAGAUAAUAUCUACACUGAAACUAUUGUGCCUAAAUUCUUUAAAGGAAGCCGAUAAAUACACUGUGAGGAGGGAGCAAAUGAUCGUGACCUUGACAGUUGCGGUUUUGUCGUUAUGCCUGAAAAUACCUGUUUCCCAGAUUGUACAGAAUUACAAUCAACAGCUAGUGUGGUUAAAAAGAUGAAGCUUAUUUGUUCCCUUUAAGGGGAAGAAGAUUUCUGAAGAGGCUGUUCAAUCGCUGACUUUGUAACUCCAUCUAGUGGUUGACGCUUGUCAUUCUCGAGUCUCUUUGGGCUGGACUCACUGGACACUUAGUUUAAUUACAGCUGAUAUACCAUCUGUGAAUUGCAGCAAAAUUAAAAAAAAAAAAAAAAAGUAGUGUGUUUUUAUAAAAUUGCAUAUUUCAUAUUUUGGCAACCCUGUUAACAUA